AAAUAUAAUACACUAUAAUACAAAUUGCCGUCCCCUGAAAUACCUUCCUGGCAUAGUUGAUGCCAACACUGCCAGCCAUAAUCACUUCUUUAUCAACUUCUCCCACAUGCACCUUCACAUUUUUGUUCCAUCCCUUGUGCAUGAGACAUCCUUUCCCAUUGAUCUGUAAAGUCACGAACUACACUAUUUCCCUGUAAUCCUACAAGUCUACUAAAGACUAAAUUAGCUUUAAGCAUAGCUACUCCACAUAUCCAAGCGUCUCAUAUCCCUUUUCCUCUCAUCUGCAUUCCUUCCAGUUCUUCUGACUGUUCACUCCCCACUUGUUACAUCUUAUUUUAAACUAGGCCCUUAUCCUGCCUUGAGAACUGUCGGGAGACACCCAUGAGCAUCAGCAUCUGCUCAUGUGGUUCUCAGUAUGUAAUUGGGACUAUGGUUCUAAGCUCUUCAGUGCAGGGAAUUUAUUAGAACAGCUGCUUACACAGUGAGCCCCCUACUGUAAUAUUUAUAUUAUCCUUCAUAGUCAUGUUUAGAUAUCACUGUUUUAGUUCUCUUGGUUUGUAAUGGUUGUAUGUAACACGUUUUUCUCUUUUAUAGGCAUCCCAACUUUAUUAUAUGGAAUUGGCUCCUGGUUUCUUGUCAGUGUCACAGAGACUGUUCACACAAGUUGUGGCCCAGUAACUAUUUAUUUUCUGAAUAAAGAAGAUGAAGGUGCCAUGUACUGAAAUUGUGCAUUCAAGCACUUUGGUUCGGUACUAACUAGCACAACAGAUGAUGUUUGGCCCGGGAGAACUUUGAGGAGUUUGCAAGUGAGGAAGACAGACUGGUGUGGCUAGGGGCAGACACAAUCUGUUCAUCAGAACUCACUCUUGCUGAGGUAAAGAAGUAAUACAGCAGCUCACAGCUCCAAAUAGUCUCAGCAGCAUCUUACAACAUACAAGGGGCAUUUUAAAGGAUAAAGUCACUAAUAUGACUAAUAUAAUGAACUGAUGCUGUUCCAUGUUUUAUGAAGGAAGUGUGUCUGCUUCACUAAAUACAACUGAAAGUAACACUAAAUAUAACUUUAGUCAAGGAGCACUCAUUCCAGUAUAUUUUGUACUGAAGAAUAUUCUUGACACAAGCUGAAUAAAUAGCUUUCACAGAAGAGAGUUACAUUAAGCUUCAUUAAUAAUAAAACUCAUGGUUAGCAUUUUGCUAGAAUAGCUAGAACUGAUUUCCUCUGUAAUGGGCAAAAGUUAAAUAACUACAGCUCAUAAGUUUUAAGUCAAAUACUGCUCAUUCAUUGCUACUGAUCUUGUCAAUACUUUGCUGUAAAGGUUUGGUCUCAACAUGAGGCUGAUAAAAUGGUUUUUAAUUACCAGACUAUAAAUACAGCUUUUCAUUGGAGUUGCACCUCCACUCACUGCAGCUUGUUUGAUUUCUGAUAAUGUGUACUGCUGACUUUGCUCACCUGUUUUUCAAUAAAUGCAAGCAACGUGACUCCUUGUCCAUACAGUGAUGGGCAAGUCUCCUUAGA